rnacentral:lncRNA from 1 species
GUGUUAAUAAAAGCCUUUCUGAAAAUGGUGUUGUGAGGAAGGACAUGAGGUUUGGCACUUAGGGGGUGUUCAGUAAAUGGUGGUUAUUAUUGUUAGAAUGAGAGAAAGCAAAAGAGAGCCUCAGGCAAAACAGUAAAGAACAGAGAAAACAGAACAGGAAAGAAAACAGCAUCUGUGGGCUCCAGAAGCGCCCAGAGCCCCCACCCUCCCUCGCCCACCUGCGCACUCACCCCUGAUGGCCCAGGUUCCGAGAGGCUAAGCAGGGCAGCCAGGGCCAUGGCUCACAGGAGGAUCCUGGCUCUGCGCUGGCUCCUUCAGUCUUUAGGGUGUAUUGCAAUGGCCACUGUGCGCCAGACCCCAAGGAGAAAAUGAGGCGGCGCAGGGACGGAGGAGCUCCGAAUCCAGCACUCCUUUCCCUACCCCUGUCCAGGGAGAAAGGCUGGAGAUGAAACAGCCUGAUGGGGCUCAACCAACCAGAAUACAUCAGAAGGGACGCCUCUGUGGCUGGGGAAGGAAGAUGCUAGAGCUGCUGGGAGGAAGUGGGAGAAUUGUCAGGCACCAGCAUGGCCCAGGAAGCCCCUGACUACUGCAGAGUGUAGGGGCAACUGAUAGAGGAUCUUCUUACAUUUGCUUUAUUUCAUGGUGCUGCCCAAAUUCAUGCUGUACCCUCAGCAGCAAGGAGUGGGACCAUUACUCCUGGCGUUCCCAGAUGGAACAGACACCAAGCCUGGCUUUGCCACUGAACACAAUACAGGACUGAUAAAGGAAAUAGAGGCUGCCCAUCUCUCAGUGCCACAUAUGAGAAAGGGAAGUUGUCAUUUUAUAUAUCCACUGUCAAGCAUCUUGGUAAAACAGAAGAAAGCAGGCUGGGCCUGGUGGCUCAUGCCUAUAAUCCCAGCACUUUGGGAGGCCAAGGAGGGCAGAUAGCUUGACCAGCAUGGGCAACAUGGCAAAAUCCUGUCUCUACAAAAAAAUAAAAAAAAACAAAAAAUAAAUGUAGUCCCAGGUACUGAGGAAGCUGAGGCAGGAGGAACACUUGAGCCUGGGAGGUAAAGGCUUCAGUGAGCCGUGAUAAUGCCACUGCACUCCAGCCUAGACAACAGAGUGAGACCCUGUCUCAAGAAAAAGAAAAACAAGAGGGAGGCAAUCUACUUUAUACCCAGAGAAUUUUACAUGCAAGGAAUUUGACUAUGAAUAAGCCUCCAUUGCUUAAGAGAGACUUCACUAUUUGGGAUUUUAAGAAAGAAAUACACAAACAAGCAAAUCUCAUCAGCAGAGGACUGAGAAACCAGUGUUUAUAAUACCCAGUGAUUAAUGUA